UGUGUUUGUAUCAAUACUAAUGAUUAUCGGCGGGACGUUAUGUGGUAUUGAAG
rnacentral:sRNA from 1 species